rnacentral:rRNA from 1 species
AGCGAACGCUGGCGGCAUGCCUAACACAUGCAAGUCGAGCGCUCCCAGCAAUGGGGGAGCGGCGGACGGGUGAGUAACGCGUAGGAACGUAUCCUGAGGUGGGGGAUAACCCUGGGAAACUAGGGCUAAUACCGCAUGAUGGCGAGAGCCCAAAGAUUUAUCGCCUUGGGAGCGGCCUGCGUCUGAUUAGCUUGUUGGUGGGGUAACGGCCUACCAAGGCGAUGAUCGGUAGCUGUUCUGAGAGGAAGAUCAGCCACACUGGGACUGAGACACGGCCCAGACUCCUACGGGAGGCAGCAGUGGGGAAUUUUGGACAAUGGGGGGAACCCUGAUCCAGCAACGCCGCGUGAAUGAAGAAGGCCUUAGGGUUGUAAAGUUCUUUGUCUGGGAGCAAAGGUUGUAUGUUAAUAGUAUACAAAGAUGAGAGUACCAGAAGAAUAAGCACCGGCUAACUACGUG